UACGGAGGGUGCAAGCGUUAUCCGGAUUCACUGGGUUUAAAGGGAGCGUAGGAGGGCAGGUAAGUCAGUGGUGAAAUCUUCGAGCUUAACUCGGAAACUGCCGUUGAUACUAUCUGUCUUGAAUACCGUGGAGAUGAGCGGAAUAUGUCAUGUAGCGGUGAAAUGCUUAGAUAUGACAUAGAACACCAAUUGCGAAGGCAGCUCGUUACACGAAUAUUGACUCUGAGGCUCGAAAGCGUGGGGAGCGAACAGG
rnacentral:rRNA from 1 species